rnacentral:rRNA from 1 species
AUACGGAGGGUGCAAGCGUUAAUCGGAAUUACUGGGCGUAAAGAGUACGUAGGUGGUUUGUUAAGUCAGGUGUGAAAGCCCCGGGCUCAACCUGGGAACUGCAUUUGAAACUGGCAAACUAGAGUAUGGUAGAGGGGGGUAGAAUUUCUAGUGUAGCGGUGAAAUGCGUAGAUAUUAGAAGGAAUACCAGUGGCGAAGGCGGCCCCCUGGACCAAUACUGACACUGAGGUACGAAAGCGUGGGUAGCGAACAGGAUUAGAAACCCUAGUAGUCC